GAGUGAGUGGCAAACUGGUGAGGAGGCUGGAUCACCUCUGUCCUAAAGCGGGGGAUAACACCUGGAAACAGAUGCUAAUACCGCAUAACAACUUGGACCGCAUGGUCCGAGCUUGAAAGAUGGCUUCGGCUAUCACUUUUGGAUGGUCCCGCGGCGUAUUAGCUAGAUGGUGGGGUAACGGCUCACCAUGGCAAUGAUACGUAGCCGACCUGAGAGGGUAAUCGGCCACAUUGGGACUGAGACACGGCCCAAACUCCUACGGGAGGCAGCAGUAGGGAAUCUUCCACAAUGGACGAAAGUCUGAUGGAGCAACGCCGCGUGAGUGAAGAAGGGUUUCGGCUCGUAAAACUCUGUUGUUAAAGAAGAACAUAUCUGAGAGUAACUGUUCAGGUAUUGACGGUAUUUAACCAGAAAGCCACGGCUAACUACGUGCCAGCAGCCGCGGUAAUACGUAGGUGGCAAGCGUUGUCCGGAUUUAUUGGGCGUAAAGCGAGCGCAGGCGGUUUUUUAAGUCUGAUGUGAAAGCCUUCGGCUCAACCGAAGAAGUGCAUCGGAAACUGGGAAACUUGAGUGCAGAAGAGGACAGUGGAACUCCAUGUGUAGCGGUGAAAUGCGUAGAUAUAUGGAAGAACACCAGUGGCGAAGGCGGCUGUCUGGUCUGUAACUGACGCUGAGGCUCGAAAGUAUGGGUAGCAAACAGGAUUAGAUACCCUGGUAGUCCAUACCGUAAACGAUGAAUGCUAAGUGUUGGAGGGUUUCCGCCCUUCAGUGCUGCAGCUAACGCAUUAAGCAUUCCGCCUGGGGAGUACGGCCGCAAGGCUGAAACUCAAAGGAAUUGACGGGGGCCCGCACAAGCGGUGGAGCAUGUGGUUUAAUUCGAAGCUACGCGAAGAACCUUACCAGGUCUUGACAUACUAUGCAAAUCUAAGAGAUUAGACGUUCCCUUCGGGGACAUGGAUACAGGUGGUGCAUGGUUGUCGUCAGCUCGUGUCGUGAGAUGUUGGGUUAAGUCCCGCAACGAGCGCAACCCUUAUUAUCAGUUGCCAGCAUUAAGUUGGGCACUCUGGUGAGACUGCCGGUGACAAACCGGAGGAAGGUGGGGAUGACGUCAAAUCAUCAUGCCCCUUAUGACCUGGGCUACACACGUGCUACAAUGGAUGGUACAACGAGUUGCGAACUCGCGAGAGUAAGCUAAUCUCUUAAAGCCAUUCUCAGUUCGGAUUGUAGGCUGCAACUCGCCUACAUGAAGUCGGAAUCGCUAGUAAUCGCGGAUCAGCAUGCCGCGGUGAAUACGUUCCCGGGCCUUGUACACACUGACCGUCACACCAUGAGAGUU
rnacentral:rRNA from 2 species